rnacentral:misc_RNA from 1 species
GAGAAGAACGUAGCGAAAUGCGAUAAGUAGUGUGAAUUGCAGAAUUCAGUGAAUCAUCGAAUCUUUGAACGCACAUUGCGCCCCUUGGUAUCCCGAGGGGCAUGCCUGUUCGAGCGUCAUUUCACCACUCAAGCCUGGCUUGGUGUUGGGCGACGUCCUCUUUGGGGACGCGCCUCGAAACGCUCGGCGGCGUGGCACCGGCUUUAAGCGUAGCAGAAUCUUUCGCUUUGGAAGUCGGGGCCCCGUCUGCCGGAAGACCUGCUCGCAAGGUUGACCUCGGAUCAGGCAGGGAUACCCGCUGAACUUAAGCAUAUCAAUAAGCGGAGGA